rnacentral:rRNA from 1 species
UUUAUGGAGAGUUUGAUCCUGGCUCAGGAUGAACGCUGGCGGCGUGCCUAAUACAUGCAAGUCGAGCGAACGGACGAGAAGCUUGCUUCUCUGAUGUUAGCGGCGGACGGGUGAGUAACACGUGGAUAACCUACCUAUAAGACUGGGAUAACUUCGGGAAACCGGAGCUAAUACCGGAUAAUAUUUUGAACCGCAUGGUUCAAAAGUGAAAGACGGUCUUGCUGUCACUUAUAGAUGGAUCCGCGCUGCAUUAGCUAGUUGGUAAGGUAACGGCUUACCAAGGCAACGAUGCAUAGCCGACCUGAGAGGGUGAUCGGCCACACUGGAACUGAGACACGGUCCAGACUCCUACGGGAGGCAGCAGUAGGGAAUCUUCCGCAAUGGGCGAAAGCCUGACGGAGCAACGCCGCGUGAGUGAUGAAGGUCUUCGGAUCGUAAAACUCUGUUAUUAGGGAAGAACAUAUGUGUAAGUAACUGUGCACAUCUUGACGGUACCUAAUCAGAAAGCCACGGCUAACUACGUGCCAGCAGCCGCGGUAAUACGUAGGUGGCAAGCGUUAUCCGGAAUUAUUGGGCGUAAAGCGCGCGUAGGCGUUUUUUAAGUCUGAUGUGAAAGCCCACGGCUCAACCGUGGAGGGUCAUUGGAAACUGGAAAACUUGAGUGCAGAAGAGGAAAGUGGAAUUCCAUGUGUAGCGGUGAAAUGCGCAGAGAUAUGGAGGAACACCAGUGGCGAAGGCGACUUUCUGGUCUGUAACUGACGCUGAUGUGCGAAAGCGUGGGGAUCAAACAGGAUUAGAUACCCUGGUAGUCCACGCCGUAAACGAUGAGUGCUAAGUGUUAGGGGUUUCCGCCCCUUAGUGCUGCAGCUAACGCAUUAAGCACUCCGCCUGGGGAGUACGACCGCAAGGUUGAAACUCAAAGGAAUUGACGGGGACCCGCACAAGCGGUGGAGCAUGUGGUUUAAUUCGAAGCAACGCGAAGAACCUUACCAAAUCUUGACAUCCUUUGACAACUCUAGAGAUAGAGCCUUCCCCUUCGGGGGACAAAGUGACAGGUGGUGCAUGGUUGUCGUCAGCUCGUGUCGUGAGAUGUUGGGUUAAGUCCCGCAACGAGCGCAACCCUUAAGCUUAGUUGCCAUCAUUAAGUUGGGCACUCUAAGUUGACUGCCGGUGACAAACCGGAGGAAGGUGGGGAUGACGUCAAAUCAUCAUGCCCCUUAUGAUUUGGGCUACACACGUGCUACAAUGGACAAUACAAAGGGUAGCGAAACCGCGAGGUCAAGCAAAUCCCAUAAAGUUGUUCUCAGUUCGGAUUGUAGUCUGCAACUCGACUACAUGAAGCUGGAAUCGCUAGUAAUCGUAGAUCAGCAUGCUACGGUGAAUACGUUCCCGGGUCUUGUACACACCGCCCGUCACACCACGAGAGUUUGUAACACCCGAAGCCGGUGGAGUAACCUUUUAGGAGCUAGCCGUCGAAGGUGGGACAAAUGAUUGGGGUGAAGUCGUAACAAGGUAGCCGUAUCGGAAGGUGCGGCUGGAUCACCUCCUUUCU